UCAAUACUCCCCAGUCUGAAUUAUCUCAUUUUAAAAAUUAUAACAGGAGAUACCUCAGACUGGGGAGCAUUCAGACCAGUCUCGAUACUCCCCAGUCUGAGAAAUCUCAUUUAAAAAAAAUUAUAACAGGAGAUGCUCCAGACUGGGGAGUAUCGA